rnacentral:rRNA from 1 species
CACGUAGGGGGCAAGCGUUGUCCGGAUUUAUUGGGCGUAAAGAGCUCGUAGGCGGCUUAGUAAGUCGGGUGUGAAACCUCCAGGCUCAACCUGGAGACGCCACCCGAUACUGCUGUGGCUAGAGUCCGGUAGGGGAGCGUGGAAUUCCUGGUGUAGCGGUGAAAUGCGCAGAUAUCAGGAGGAACACCGGUGGCGAAGGCGGGACUCUGGGCCGAUGACUGACGCUGAGGAGCGAAAGCGUGGGGAGCAAACAGG